CACGCCGUAAACUAUGAGUGCUAGGUGUCAGGGGCUUUGACCCUCCUGGUGCCGAAGCUAACGCGUUAAGCACUCCGCCUGGGGAGUACGGCCGCAAGGCUAAAACUCAAAGGAAUUGACGGGGGCCCGCACAAGCGGUGGAGCAUGUGGUUCAAUUCGACGCAACGCGCAAAACCUUACCUGGGCUAGAAAUGACAGGAACCUGGUCGAAAGAUCGGGGUGCCCUUCGGGGAAUCUGUUGUUAGGUGC
rnacentral:rRNA from 1 species